AUUGAACGCUGGCGGCAUGCCUAACACAUGCAAGUCGAACGGUAGCAGGCGAACGGGUGCCUUCUUGCUGCGGAGUGGCGGGUGAUAGAGCAGUACGUGCCAGUCUGGCGUGUGGAGGGGGGUGACAGCUGGGAAAUGUCGCUAUUCGAGCGUAAUAUCAACGGAUUGAAGCGUGGGACCUUUAGCGAUUCGCCAGACGAUGAGCCGAUGUGGGAUUAGGUAGUUGGUGGGCUAAAGGCUUACCAAGCCGACGAUCGGUAGCUGGUCUGAGAGGAUGACCAGCCACACUGGGACUGAGACACGGCCCAGACUCCUACGGGAGGCAGCAGUGGGGAAUAUUGCGCAAUGGGCGCAAGCCUGACCCAGCCAUGCCGCGUGCAGGAUGAAGGCCUUCGGGUUGUAAAGUUCUUUUGUACGGAAGGAAAAGUCUUCUGUUAAUACAGGAGUGUAUUGACGUUACCGUAAGAAUAAGCACCGGCUAACUCCGUG
rnacentral:rRNA from 1 species